rnacentral:rRNA from 1 species
AAUUACCCACUCCCAGCACGGGGAGGUAGUGACGAAAAAUAACGAUACGGGACUCAUCCGAGGCCCCGUAAUCGGAAUGAGAACACUUUAAAACUUUUUCCGAGGAUCAAUUGGAGGGUAAGUCUGGUGCCAGCAGCCGCGGUAAUUCCAGCUCCAAUAGCGUAUAUUAAAGUUGUUGCGGUUAAAAAGCUCGUAGUCGAAUCUGUGUCCCGCGCCGCUGGUUCAUCGCUCGCGGUGUUCAACUGGCGUGUCUCGCGGGACGUCCUGCCGGUGGGUCUUCGUAUCGUUUCGGCGGUGCGUGACCCAACUCGUAGCCGUUUUGCGCGGUUGCGAAUCCCAUCGCGGUGCUCUUUAUUGAGUGUCGAGGUGGGCCGGCACGUUUACUUUGAACAAAUUAGAGUGCUUAAAGCAGGCCAAUUUUGCCUGAAUAUUGUGUGCAUGGAAUAAUGGAAUAGGACCUCGGUUCUAUUUUGUUGGUUUUCGGAACCCCGAGGUAAUGAUUAAUAGGAACGGAUGGGGGCAUUCGUAUUGCGACGUUAGAGGUGAAAUUCUUGGAUCGUCGCAGGACGGACAGAAGCGAAAGCAUUUGCCAAAAACGCUUUCAUUGAUCAAGAACGAAAGUUAGAGGUCCGAAGGCGAUCAGAUACCGCCCUAGUUCUAACCAUAAACGAUGCCAGCUAGCGAUCCGCCGACGUUCCUCCGAUGACUCGGCGGGCAGCUUCCGGGAAACCAAAGCUUUUGGGUUCCGGGGGAAGUAUGGUUGCAAAGCUGAAACUUAAAGGAAUUGACGGAAGGGCACCACCAGGAGUGGAGCCUGCGGCUUAAUUUGACUCAACACGGGACACCUCACCAGGCCCGGACACCGGAAGGAUUGACAGAUUGAUAGCUCUUUCUUGAUUCGGUGGGUGGUGGUGCAUGGCCGUU